rnacentral:rRNA from 1 species
UACGAAGGGGGCUAGCGUUGCUCGGAAUCACUGGGCGUAAAGCGCACGUAGGCGGCUUGGCAAGUCGGAUGUGAAAUCCCUCGGCUCAACCAAGGAAGUGCAUCCGAAACUGCUGAGCUUGAGUACUUAAGAGGAUCGCGGAAUUCCCGGUGUAGAGGUGAAAUUCGUAGAUAUCAGGAGGAACACCUGUGGUGUAGACAGCUUGCUGGACCAUCACUGACGCUGAGGCACGGAAGCGUGGGUAGCAAACAGG